rnacentral:sRNA from 1 species
GCCAGGCACGGUGGCACACGCCUGUAAUCCCAGAGACUCAGGAGGCUGAGACAGGAGGAUUGAGAGUUCAAAGCGAGGUGCUAAGUAACUCAGUGAGACCUUGUCUCUCUAUAAAAUACAAAAUAGGACUGGGGAUGAGGCUCAGUGGUCGAGUGCCUCUGAGAUCAAUAAAUCUCCAGUACCAA